GACGAACGCUGGCGGCGUGCUUAACACAUGCAAGUCGAACGGAAAGGCCCUGCUUUUGUGGGGUGCUCGAGUGGCGAACGGGUGAGUAACACGUGAGUAACCUGCCCUUGACUUUGGGAUAACUUCAGGAAACUGGGGCUAAUACCGGAUAGGAGCUCCUGCUGCAUGGUGGGGGUUGGAAAGUUUCGGCGGUUGGGGAUGGACUCGCGGCUUAUCAGCUUGUUGGUGGGGUAGUGGCUUACCAAGGCUUUGACGGGUAGCCGGCCUGAGAGGGUGACCGGCCACAUUGGGACUGAGAUACGGCCCAGACUCCUACGGGAGGCAGCAGUGGGGAAUAUUGCACAAUGGGCGGAAGCCUGAUGCAGCAACGCCGCGUGCGGGAUGACGGCCUUCGGGUUGUAAACCGCUUUCGCCUGUGACGAAGCGUGAGUGACAGUAAUGGGUAAAGAGGCACCGGCUAACUACGUG
rnacentral:rRNA from 1 species